GAUGAACGCUGGCGGCGUGCCUAAUACAUGCAAGUCGAGCGAACGGACGAGAAGCUUGCUUCUCUGAUGUUAGCGGCGGACGGGUGAGUAACACGUGGAUAACCUACCUAUAAGACUGGGAUAACUUCGGGAAACCGGAGCUAAUACCGGAUAAUAUUUUGAACCGCAUGGUUCAAAAGUGAAAGACGGUCUUGCUGUCACUUAUAGAUGGAUCCGCGCUGCAUUAGUUAGUUGGUAAGGUAACGGCUUACCAAGGCAACGAGGCAUAGCCGACCUGAGAGGGUGAUCGGCCACACUGGAACUGAGACACGGCCCAGACUCCUACGGGAGGCAGCAGUAGGGAAUCUUCCGCAAUGGGCGAAAGCCUGACGGAGCAACGCCGCGUGAGUGAUGAAGGUCUUCGGAUCGUAAAACUCUGUUAUUAGGGAAGAACAUAUGUGUAAGUAACUGUGCACAUCUUGACGGUACCUAAUCAGAAAGCCACGGCUAACUACGUG
rnacentral:rRNA from 1 species